rnacentral:rRNA from 1 species
UGGGGAAUUUUGGACAAUGGGCGAAAGCCUGAUCCAGCAAUGCCGCGUGUGUGAAGAAGGCCUUCGGGUUGUAAAGCACUUUUGUCCGGAAAGAAAUCCUUGGCUCUAAUACAGUCGGGGGAUGACGGUACCGGAAGAAUAAGCACCGGCUAACUACGUGCCAGCAGCCGCGGUAAUACGUAGGGUGCAAGCGUUAAUCGGAAUUACUGGGCGUAAAGCGUGCGCAGGCGGUUUGCUAAGACCGAUGUGAAAUCCCCGGGCUCAACCUGGGAACUGCAUUGGGUGACUGGCAGGCUAGAGUAUGGCAGAGGGGGGUAGAAUUCCACGUGUAGCAGUGAAAUGCGUAGAGAUGUGGAGGAAUACCGAUGGCGAAGGCAGCCCCCCUGGGCCAAUACUGACGCUCAUGCACGAAAGCGUGGGGAGCAAACAGGAUUAGAUACCCUGGUAGUCCACGCCCUAAACGAUGUCAACUAGUUGUUGGGGAUUCAUUCCUUAGUAACGUAGCUAACGCGUGAAGUUGACCGCCUGGGGAGUACGGUCGCAAGAUUAAAACUU